rnacentral:rRNA from 1 species
GACGAACGCUGGCGGCGUGCCUAACACAUGCAAGUCGAGCGAUGAAACCCUUCGGGGUGGAUUAGCGGCGGACGGGUGAGUAACACGUGGGUAACCUGCCUCAAAGAGGGGAAUAGCCUCCCGAAAGGGAGAUUAAUACCGCAUAAUAUGUUUUAAUCGCAUGAUUGAAACAUCAAAGGAGUAAUCCGCUUUGAGAUGGACCCGCGGCGCAUUAGCUAGUUGGUGAGGUAACGGCUCACCAAGGCGACGAUGCGUAGCCGACCUGAGAGGGUGAUCGGCCACAUUGGAACUGAGACACGGUCCAGACUCCUACGGGAGGCAGCAGUGGGGAAUAUUGCGCAAUGGGGGAAACCCUGACGCAGCAACGCCGCGUGAAUGAUGAAGGCCUUCGGGUUGUAAAGUUCUGUCUUCUGGGAUGAUAAUGACGGUACCAGAGGAGGAAGCCACGGCUAACUACGUGCCAGCAGCCGCGGUAAUACGUAGGUGGCAAGCGUUGUCCGGAUUUACUGGGCGUAAAGGAUGCGUAGGCGGACAUUUAAGUCAGAUGUGAAAUACCCGAGCUUAACUUGGGUGCUGCAUUUGAAACUGGGUGUCUAGA